ACCAGAAACGGAGCACGUGUGUCCCGCCGUUUUGGUCAUGGGGGAGGGCCUGCGACUGGUCACAGUGGGAGUGGAGGAUGUCAUAGAGGGAUGAACCCUUUGUGGGCUCACAAACUGAUCGGGCAGAUGAACGCGUCAGGCAGCCUGGACAGUUUUUUUGUCUCCUCCUCCAAGUACCCUUACCAGGAGUCCCCUGAUUCGGCCCUGUGGGGGCUUUGCCACACCUGGGAUCUGGGACCGAUAACUCUACAAUUUCCAGAAAUGGCUUCUUUGGUUAUUUGUAUUUAAUGAACAUGUCAGCUUGCAAGAUUAAUCAUGGAAAUUUUGAUUUAGAAGAGACCCUUUGUCUGGACUACAUUUGCCCCCAGAUAUCUUCUUGGCUUGUUUCCUAUCAGAAUGGAUUUUUUUCUUUUCCCGUCUUUUGGAAGAGCUGUUCAAAAUGGUGUACUUGAGGCUGGACAAGAAUGACCGUAUAAACUGGUCUCAGAAGACAUUUUGGAUCAACUGGAAAAGACUUCACUUCAGCAGAUCACAGUCCUCUUCUGAAGUCUCAGAGAUGUCCGCUGUGUGUGGGGAGGGGUGUGAAAAAUCACCCCGGUCGAGUCCCACUGCUCCAGGUGCUGUUGAAAGCUGAGGUUAUCACUGUCCACGCAAGAUAGAAAGGAGAAACCUGAAACACUUGUGUUGACCUAAUGCUGUAUACAGUGAUGACGAGAGGUCCUUUCCUGCCCAGUUAAGGAUGCACGUCAUCUGAGAAAUAAAAUGGCAUUUGUUUGUUUAAAAAAGAAGAUGUCUGGAUAAUUUGGAAAACCAGUGUCUCCCAGCUGCAUGUUUUAAGUUAAAAUUAUGACCUUGCCCACAUUUCUUUAGCAUUUGUCAGGUGGGAGGAGAUUCCAAGGCACUUUGGGAAGCAUCCUAACGAAAAGUGAAUUAGUUGACCCAACACUAAAAUUCAGCCACCUCUGAAUUGUGAAGUGGCAGUUUAUUAGCAGCUUCUUACUAUAUCCACUGUGGCUUAACUUAUGGAUUAUAAGAUGUGGAGGUAUUGCAAAUCAAAAUUUUCUGGGAACUUAGAGCAACAUUACAGCAAUACAAAGAUUCAGAGACAGGGGAGAGGCAAUAUCCCACCCCCUCACUCCCUGGCUGAGGGGGGUGGUUGUAAGGGGAGGUCCCUGAGGUACGGAGAUCCACUUGUCUCCACUCGCAGUUGACUUACUCCUAACACAUAUCCAGUUCAGAUGAAUUAUGUUCCCAGGUUUUCAUAUAGGUCUUUGGAAAUAGAUUUAUCUGGUUCAUACUGGAGUCUUCUGUGGGUUACUUUUGACUUUUUUUUUUCGUUUGUUUCUUGAUCUUAUUUGUUCACUCCAAACUUCUAGCCAUGAAUUCAUUUCCCCCCAGAAAUACAAAACUCGGUCAUAUCUUAUGAUGAAAUAGUUCUACAGAUUCCUGGGAUUCUGAAAAUGACAGAAAUAGGAUGUCCUUACAACGAUUCAGCAAACCUUUAUGGAGAACCAAUUGUCUCUGCCCCUGUAUGAGGGUAUCUCUCGUUCAGAGAUGGGCUCGUUUUUCUGUAUUUUGAUGAUGUUCUCUAAAGACCACAUGCUACCGUGGGUUGCUUGGGGGAAAGAAGAUGGCUUGAGUCUCUUCUUCAGGAAGGGGAUCGUGCUUAGAGAAAACAGGAACUGAGAGAGGAGCUAGGAGCAGGCUUCUGGGUAGAAGUAGAAAGACGGUUUCCCCUUGAGUGUCCAACCAAGGAAUGUGUGUGACCUAAAGUGUUGUGCUCAGCGUUGGUUCGCAACGCUCCCGGGAGCUCCCUGGUUAUAGUCUGAAACCGUGCCCCCUUCCUUGUAGAGCAGGGAGAGGCAGACCACUCCAGGUGGGUGGGUGGCAGUCUCUGAGCAAAGGACACUUAUACAUGAGGCUUGUCCUGGGCAGCAAGAAGACGAGUAGAUCCUUGCCAGUCUUAAAAUUUUAUCUAGGGGCCGUCACUGGGUUCGGUCACAUACACUGUGCAAGGUGUUCUCAACGCCACAUCAUUAUCUCAAGGCCAUGUCCUCAGAGCAGCCUCCGGGAGCGAGACAGGCAAGUGGGACCCUCAUCCCGAGGACAGGGGUGGAGGUGAGGAGCCUCUGAUCACCCGGGUCUAGCUCAUGGGUCAACUGACAGUCACUCACAUCUUUUCAAUGACCCUCCCCACGGUCCCUUAUGGGUUUCACAAGUAAUGAUCUACUUAUUUAUUUUUAAAAAUUGAUUUAAGGUUAUGCCUCUGUAGUUGUAGGGAGAAAGAGGUGGAGCUGUAGUAAUCAGGUAACUGUAUAUAACCU